CCUCUCAAAUCCAUAUUUUUGUUGAUUUUAACUGUGAUUUUUCAUCGGAAUCAGAUUGUCAAGGUAAACUUGUCCAUCUUCUCUUAAUUUCUCCUCCGAUUCUACCAUAUUCAUGUGGGUUUGAGUGGGAACGCUAGAUGUAAUUUGUGGUACAAAAUUGGUCGUUCUAGUUGAUGAAUUAUGGUUUGGAAUGAUUAGAAAUGCAAUAUAGGUUGCAUAUGAUUGAAUAUUUGUUCUAGAACAAAAUUUGAUAGUAUUUUUAAAUGCCCGUAUAAUAUGAUGUUGUGAUGGGUUGAAGUUGUGUGCAAUGAUUUUUUAAAGAUGGUAACUAAGUUUAUUACGUAGGAUUUGGUAGAGUUGAAUGUAAAAAUGUUUGGUGCAUGUCAAAUUCGUAAUGGAUUGGUGUUUAUGCAGUUGUAUGAUAUGAUGAACUAUUUGUGGUGUAAGCAAAAGUGGGCACACAUCGGCAAGAAGUAUCCCUAUGUUAGUUGUAAGGAUGCCCCCGUUCCUCCCGCUCUUCCUGUCCCGACUUGUGAUUGUGGAGUGAGAGAUAUGCUACUUCUUCCAAUGGAUUGAUGGGCCUGAGAUGUAUGACCCGAGGAUUUUGAAGGUGAAACGAUUUACUCAAUAUUCAAAGCCAUAUGACAAGUUUAUUCGUUGGGUUCCUCCUCCACCAAAUCCACAAAAGCUGACCUAUAAAGAGAAAUCGGAUUUGAGGGGAAAACGUGUAGCGGAUCCUCCGUUAUGCAAAUGUGGGAAGCGAAGCAUGCUCUGUGAACCUUCAGGGGAAUCUCCUUACUUCCGUUGUGAAGGGAUGACGAAGUGCUACUUGUAACUUUCAGGAUUUGUUGUACGGUCCUGAUGGUGAAUGGAUGGAGGAGGAAGAGGAUAGAGGGAAAGGCAAAAGGGUGAUAGAACCAUGUCACCCAAGGAGAGCUAUGAAGGGUCAAGAGGCAGCGGCUAAGGCGGUGCAAAUGGAGACAAUAAAGGUACUUGUUGCUAAUUUACUUGUGCUUAUCCCGGACGCUGAUGAUGAUGACGCUGAUGAUGAGUUGAUCUAUAAUGGGGCGGACGAUUAGUAUUAUAGGUUAGUUGGCUGGGUAUGUGGUUACGUUGGACCUAUCAAUAAUUUGUUAGGCGUAAUGUUGUGAACUAUUUUGUGAGCUUAAUGUGUAAUCGUCGAUGAUUGUAC